CCGAGUUUACAACUCCCAAACCCCUGUGAACCAUACCUAUCGUUGCUUCGGCGGCCGCGCCCCGGUGCCCCCGGGCCCGGACCAAGGCGCCCGCCGGAGGCCAAAAAACCACUGUGUAUUAGUGUAUUCUUCUGAGUAAAACAAGUUAAAUAAAUCA
rnacentral:misc_RNA from 1 species